rnacentral:misc_RNA from 1 species
UCCCCGUUAUCCGAGGCGGUUUCGCCCGAGUUCCUACGCUUUCUAGCCCAGGUAAGGUUCUUCGCGUUGCCUCGAAUUAAACCACACGCUCCGCUGCUUGUGCGGGCCCCCGCCUAUUCCUUUGAGUUUUAACCUUGCGGCCGUAGUCCCCAGGCGGUGAACUUAAUGCGUUAGCUGCGGCACUGAUCGGGUCAAUCCGACCAACACCUAGUUCACAACGUUUAGGGCGUGGACUAC